UGUGUGUUUGCAGAAGGUUCUUCAUUCAGAGGAGAUGGAGGAGGGAUUGGAACUCACAGAUGUGCCGCGGUGUGUGUCAUCGACUCUAGAGUGUGUUGAGAUACAAGAACAACUUGAAUUGGAGGAAGGGAAGAUGAAAGCAACAAGUUACUUUCUUGGAAACUCAGCAAUACUCAAGAAACUCAUCCUGAGCCCCACAGCUUAUGAUCCUCGAUAUGUUGUGGAAUCAGAAAUAGUCGACAAGGUUAAUAAACUCACAAAACGUUCUACAGGAUGUGAAAUUAUCAUUCGAGCCAUGGAGGAGGUCGUUAUCAUUUGAUGAGUCUUCUUCUUAGUUCUGGUUGGAUUCAUUUUGACCAUUGGUGCUGAUACAAGUUCUUCAUAUUCAGUAAUGACUCUGCAUGCAAUCCUCUUUUCCUUUUUUUUUCAAAAGUCCUAACCUCAGUUUGUUGGAUGUCUUUUUUUUCUCAUAAAUUUCAGUUUGGUUACUCUUGGUUUUAUAUGUUUUACGGCUAUAAAAAUAUCCAAAAAAUUAGGUAUUAUACAGCUCAUUUAAAAAUAACUAGAUUUAUUUAAUAUAUAUUUUAACAUCUAUUUAACUAUGUUAUUACAAUGAUGAGACAUAGACGAUAUGAUAUAUCUGGUUUGAGUUUAAAAAUGUUGAUUUAAAUACAAAAAUAUUUUAAAUAAAUGUUUUUUUUAAAUUAACAAAAUAUUUGUAACGUUGUUAAUGAAUUUUUUUAUUAUAAUAUAUUUAAUAUUCUGCGCACAAAUCAAAAUUUAGUUAUAUAUAUAUAUAUAUAUAUUAAAUUUAAUUAAAUAAUUGAUCCACAGUUCAUUCGCAGUUAAUCCAAUAGUCUGGUCUAGUGUCAUGUUGAUUUUAAAAUAUUGAUUUAAAUAUUUUUACUUUUUAUAUUUUUUUGAUAAUAUACAUUUUAUUCAACUUUGCCAAAAUGUUAUAUGAUUUUUGAUGUUUUAAUGUAAGCAUUUUUUUUUUGAGAAUUAUUAUUUUUUGGUAAAAUAUCUCUUCAAAUCAAAAAGUUCAUUCAGCUUUUGAUUUGAAUCAUGUGGUCCACAUUUGCAUAGACAAAAAUAUUACUAAAUAAUAAAUAUGAGAAAAAUCAGAUGUAUUUACUUGUUAGGCGAAAUUGAUUUGAUUCAAUAAUGUUUUCUAAAUAUAACUUAACGAAUUUCUAAAUGAGGUAAAAAUGCAGUGACAUUUUCUAUAAUCAUGAAUAUAAAUGUUUGAUAGAUAUUGCCUUUUUUAAAUCUUAUAAUAAUAUAUGCGCUAUAAAGUUUUAUUUUACGAACACUCAAUGUCUAGAUUUACGAAUCUAACAAUUACUUUAUAAAUUUCAACAUUAAUAAUGAUGAUAUAUAAUAUUACCAUAAAAAGGAUAGUUUUAAGGUUGCUAUAUAGAUUUAAGAUUAGUGUAUAGUCGAAUUAAUUAUAUAUAUAGUAUAUCUUCUUUUAAAUUCUUACGUAGAAUUAAGUUGGUUACAACACAAUAUUUCCUCUCUGAUGUAACUAAAAGACUGAAACUUCUUCAUGUUCAAAAGCUUCAUGUUUGUUUGCUACUCUGCAUAUUUCGUCUUCCUCUCCACUCCAACAAGCUUACGUGCGUCUCUCCCAUCCCACCUGCUCCCAACUCGUCGCCUUUCCUCUUCGCUCUCCAAAGAGGUUUCGCAUCUCUCUCCUCCCGCUUCUUUCCCUUCUUACACUUCUCCUUAAACUGUAUCCACAGACAUCUGCAAAAUUUGUUCUUUUUAAACUGUAACCGCUUCAAACGUAUAAAUACUAAACGAUAUCGAAAGUUCCAUGAAUUACAGUCGUUUCCCAUGAAUUUUACAAUGACAUUUAACAUGAAGAUUUAACCAAUAAAAGAAAUAUUUUUUUGUCAAAAAAAUAAAAGAAAUAUUUAUAAUAUAUUCGACAAUAAAGAUUAAAGACAGCCUUCAAUUUCAUUUUUGAAACGCUCUCAUGGAACCGGAACCGCUUCAACCGUAUAAAUUCUGAAUAAUCAGUUCCGUUUUCAGACAAAAAGUUGUCACUUUUCUCUCUCUCUCUCUCUCGCUUUCGAUCACUCCCGCCGAUACAAUCCUCCGGCGGCUCAAAACCAAUCCACGGUGAGUUCUUCAGAAACCCAAUCCAUCGAAUCUUUCGUUUCAUUUGUAGUCUAAAGUUUUGUGAUUUAUUAGAGAAACUCUUUCAAUCAAAGAUUCCUUUUUUAUGCUGUUUGUUGUUUGUUGAUGCUCUUAGGGUUUCGUUUCGUGAUGUCUGGGAUGGAUCGGAUCAGCGAGUUGCCGGAAUGUUUGUUAACUCAAAUACUCUCAUACCUUCCGACAAAUCAAUCGGUGCAGACAAGUGUUUUGUCCAAGAGAUGGGAGAAUCUGUAUUUAAGCGUUCCCGGUCUUGACUUAAAUUGCUCUGUUCUUCCUAAUUAUGAUGCUGAUGAAGUGAUCUUAAGCUUCUUAAGCUUCAUUGACAAGCUUCUCGAGUUUAGCCCUGAGUCAGUUCUGUUUAAAGUCAAGGUUCAGUGCAGAGACACAAUGAUAGAUGGGUUCAGGGAUCGGAUCGGUAUGAUGAUUGACCGGGGGACACAGCAUCUUGAUGUUGUGAGCAGUACCCAUUGUUUAGAGGACGACAAUUUUCACUAUCCUAUUGUUGAUAUGAUGCCUAUGAAUCUCUACACGAGCAAGACAUUGGUUUACUUAAAGCUCUCCUCUUCUGGACUUAUGGAUCCUGGUUUUGUUUCCAUGCCUUGUCUUAAAUUCAUGCAUCUUGAAGAAGUCAAAUGGCGUGUGCAUCUGGAGAAGCUUCUCUCAGGGUGUCCUGUUCUUGAGGAGCUGACAUUGUCGAGGGAUAUGGAUGAUGAUUAUGCAAUUGGGAAUGAAGAGUUUAUGGUUAUGCGUGUGAGGUCUCAGAGCUUGAAGAGGUUUAGUGUGCUGCCGCUUAGGCAGGCAAGGGAUUACCAUUCCAGAGUGGAAUGCACACUUGAGAUUGAUGCUCCUGGUCUUGAGCAUAUGAGUCUCGGAGAUGAUCAGUUUGAUAGGAUUGUGGUAAAGAACCUGCCUUCUUUGUUGGUGGUUGAGCUUGAUAUCAAGUUCUUUGUCAAGGUUGGCGUGCUUUUUAAUACUUGGGACGUAUCAAAGAGCAAUGAGAUCCGUGAUUUUCUCAAUGGGAUAUCGAGUGUUGGACAUAUGAUCAUCUCUGGGAUGACAGUGCAUGCCUUUGAACAUUACUCAAAAGCAGGAAUCAUCCCCAAGUUCAACAACUUGUCCCGUUUACAAGCAGUGUUCCAUGGCAAGUUAUUGCAGUUUCUGCCAGCCUUUCUUGAGUGUUGCCCCAAUCUGAAGCACCUAAUCUUGGUAAAAACAUUACUGUUGUCCUUAUGUUUUUUUUUUAUGGAUGUGUGUUUUUAAAAACCCAGCUUUUUUUUUUGUGUUGUUUACAGAAGGUUCUUUAUCCAGAGGAGAUGGAUGAGGGAUUGGAACUCACAGAUGUUCCACGGUGUGUCUCAACGACUCUUGAGUGUGUUGAGAUUCAAGAAAAAUUACAGUGGGAGGAAGGGAAGAUGAAAGCAACAAGUUACUUUCUUGGAAACUCAGCAGUACUGAAGAAACUCAUUCUGAGCCCCACAGCUUAUGAUCCUCGAGAUGUUCUGGAAUCAGAAAUAUGGGAGAAGGUUAAUAAACUCACAAAACGUUCUACAGG
rnacentral:lncRNA from 1 species